AUGAUGAAGAAAGGGAAUUCUCAUAUGGCUAGGAGGUCUAAAAAAGCCAACACUUUAAGCCCAGCCAAAAAGUUUUCCAAGAGACCUUCUCCAGCCAAGACUCCAGCCAAAGAUAAAUCACCUUCAAAGAAACCUCAAGUCAAGACAGCUGUGAAACAUACUCUCCCAGAGCCUGCUAAGAAGGAGGCUAGGAAAAAGAAAGUGGAAGAUGUUGUGCGUUCCCAUAAGCGUAGAAGGCUUUGUACCUAG